GAUGAACGCUGGCGGCGUGCCUAAUACAUGCAAGUCGAGCGAACGGACGAGAAGCUUGCUUCUCUGAUGUUAGCGGCGGACGGGUGAGUAACACGUGUAUAACCUACCUAUAAGACUGGGAUAACUUCGGGAAACCGGAGCUAAUACCGGAUAAUAUUUUGAACCGCAUGGUGCAAAAGUGAAAGACGGUCUUGCUGUCACUUAUAGAUGGAUACGCGCUGCAUUAGCUAGUUGGUAAGGUAACGGCUUACCAAGGCAACGAUGCAUAGCCGACCUGAGAGGGUGAUCGGCCACACGGGAACUGAGACACGGUCCAGACUCCUACGGGAGGACGCAGUAGGGAAUCUUACGCAAUGGGCGAAAGCCUGACAGAGCAACGCCGCGUGAGUGAUGAAGGUGUUCGGCUCGUAAAACUCUGUUAUUAGGGGAGAACAUAUGUGUAAGUAACUGUGCACAUCUUGACGGUACCUGGUCAGAAAGCCACGGCUAACUACGUG
rnacentral:rRNA from 1 species